rnacentral:lncRNA from 1 species
UGAACUACUUGUAAGACUGCUCAAAUUCAUUUCAUAUGUUCCCCUAUUUUGUCUGUCUUGUCAUGGGUGAUGAGGAUAAUUCUGCCAAUGGUAACUUUGAUUUUCUCUAACAUGCAGGAACUAAAGUAUUCUUGAAGAGCCUAAAAAAUCAUAACUAGCACGUAGCUCUUGGUACAAUUGUAAGUUGUGAUCCUAAAUUUAAACUUGAUGGUGCUGAAAUUAGAAACGGAUUCCAGGCUGUGCAUGUCGAUAUGGCACUUGUGAAAACUGAAAAUUUGGUACGGAGUUGAAAAAACUGCAAUACUCUCGGUAAUGCAUAAAAAAACUAAUAUCUUGCCUCUAUUACUACUUGCAUCAUGGCAAUCUUUGUGUAUUAACAACUCAUUUUGUUAUCUUGUUUGUAGAUUCAAAAGAAAAUGGAUGACUAUAUGGUGUGUGGAAAGUAUACUGCAAUGAUGAUGUUGAUGUUCCGGUUCAUGAUGAUGAUGAUGAUGAUGGAUGCUUUCAGUUUUAGUUAAGUUGUAGGGAUAGCGUAUAUUGGAUGUUGUUCGUCCUU